UGUAAAACAUCUAUUUAUUCUGUCUUUUAAGAGGUAGAGAGAGCAAUAUGGGAUGUCAAUUUCACACAUCCUUUGUAUACUAAUAAUGAAAUUUGAAGAUUUGUCUGCUGGCAAUUACUAACACUUAAAAAUCUGGAGUAAGAUAUUAUCAAGAAAUAUGAAAGAAGUGAGUCAAAGAAAAUGCCUAUGGCUGCUACUGAGGCAACUGCAUAGAUCCAGUUCUACUAACUCAGAGGAAAGGAAGUCAGCAGCAGCGUGCACCUACAGAGGCUAAGGAUAAUAAAAUACACUCUUCAUUUGAAGCAAAGUCUAAUAAACAAGGCAUAAUCCGA